AUUGAACGCUGGCGGCGUGCCUAACACAUGCAAGUCGAGCGGUAACAGGUGUAGCAAUACAUGCUGACGAGCGGCGAACGGGUGAGUAAUGCUUCGGAAUCUACCCAAUGGUGGGGAAUAACCAGCCGAAAGGUUGGCUAAUACCGCAUACGUCCUACGGGAGAAAGCAGGGGAUCGUAAGACCUUGCGCCAAUGGAUGAGCCGAAGUCGGAUUAGCUAGUGGUAGGGUAACGGCCUACCAAGGCGACGAUCCGUAGCUGGUCUGAGAGGACGACCAGCCACACUGGGACUGAGACACGGCCCAGACUCCUACGGGAGGCAGCAGUGGGAAUAUUGGACAAUGGGGAAACCCUGAUCCAGCGACGCCGCGUGUGUGAAGAAGGCCUGCGGGUUGUAAAGCACUUUUAGUGGGGAUGAAAAGUUCAGGGCUAAUACCCCUGGAUCUUGACCUAACCCACAAG
rnacentral:rRNA from 1 species